UCUUUAGUUUUUGUUGGAACUUGAAAUUGUAGUUUUUUGAAAGGACUGCUCUUGGAAGAAUAGGUUUACCAACCAGUGACUAAAAUCGUAAGCACCUGCCUUUAGACCCCAGGUAGCUCUUCUGUCUUUACCUCUUCUUAUGGACUGUCUGCAGAUAAGAACUAGGAUGCUGGGAGCACCUGUUGAAGAGGUCUGUAUUUCAGUUGCUGAAAAAGGGGUUAUGUAUAAUACUGGUGUGUUCUGUGGUUGUCUAAGUGUAAUACUUAAUUCAGUCACCUUAGCUGAAAAAAGAUCUGCAGUGGGAUUUUUCAGUGCAAAGGAGUAU